rnacentral:rRNA from 1 species
UAAUACGUAGGGUGCGAGCGUUAAUCGGAAUUACUGGGCGUAAAGCGUGCGCAGGCGGUGCGUUGUGUCGGUGGUGAAAUCCCCGGGCUUAACCUGGGAACUGCCAUCGAAACUGGCGUACUUGAGUGUGGCAGAGGGGGGUGGAAUUCCGCGUGUAGCAGUGAAAUGCGUAGAUAUGCGGAGGAACACCGAUGGCGAAGGCAGCCCCCUGGGCUAACACUGACGCUCAGGCACGAAAGCGUGGGGAGCAAACAGG